rnacentral:rRNA from 1 species
GACGAACGCUGGCGGCGUGCCUAAUACAGGCAAGUCGAGCGCAGGAAACUGACGGAACUCUUCGGAGGGAAGGCGGUGGAAUGAGCGGCGGACGGGUGAGUAACACGUAAGGAACCUGCCUCAAGGAUUGGGAUAACUCCGAGAAAUCGGAGCUAAUACCGGAUAGUUCAUCGGACCGCAUGGUCCGCUGAUGAAAGGCGCUCCGGCGUCACCUUGAGAUGGCCUUGCGGUGCAUUAGCUAGUUGGUGGGGUAACGGCCCACCAAGACGACGAGGCAUAGCCGACCUGAGAGGGUGAUCGGCCACACUGGGACUGAGACACGGCCCAGACUCCUACGGGAGGCAGCAGUAGGGAAUCUUCCACAAUGGACGAAAGUCUGAUGGAGCAACGCCGCGUGAGUGAUGAAGGUUUUCGGAUCGUAAAACUCUGUUGUAAGGGAAGAACACGUACGAGAGGAAAUGCUCGUACCUUGACGGUACCUUACGAGAAAGCCACGGCUAACUACGUGCCAGCCGCCGCAGUAAGAC